AUGGAGAGUUUGAUCCUGGCUCAGGACGAACGCUGGCGGCGGGCUUAACACAUGCAAGUCGAAGGAGAAGGGAGAAGCUUGCUUUUCCCGGAGACUGGCGGACGGGUGAGUAACGCGUAGAUAACCUGCCUUUGCCUGGGGGAUAACACUGCGAAAGUGGUGCUAAUACCGCAUAAUGCAGCGGGGCCGCAUGGCCAUAGUUGUUAAAGGAGUAAUCCGGGUAAAGAUGGGUCUGCGUACUAUUAGCUAGUUGGUAGGGUAACGGCCUACCAAGGCGAUGAUAGUUAGGGGGUCUGAGAGGAUGAUCCCCCACACUGGGACUGAGACACGGACCAGACUCCUACGGGAGGCAGCAGUGGGGAAUUUUCCGCAAUGGGCGAAAGCCUGACGGAGCAACGCCGCGUGAGGGAUGAAGGCCUCUGGGCUGUAAACCUCUUUUAUCAAGGAAGAAGAUCUGACGGUACUUGAUGAAUAAGCCACGGCUAAUUCCGUGCCAGCAGCCGCGGUAAUACGGAGGGUGCAAGCGUUGUCCGGAAUCAUUGGGUGUAAAGGGUGCGUAGGCGGACUGCUAAGUCUGGGGUGAAAUCUUGCCGCUUAACGGUAAAAUGGCCUUGGAUACUGGCAGUCUUGAGUGUAGAAGAGGCAGGUGGAAUUCGUAGUGUAGCGGUGAAAUGCAUAGAUAUUACGAAGAACAUCAGUGGCGAAGGCGGCCUGCUGGUCUACAACUGACGCUGAGGCACGAAAGCGUGGGGAGCGAACAGGAUUAGAUACCCUGGUAGUCCACGCCGUAAAC
rnacentral:rRNA from 1 species